GGUCCAGAAGAGUGGAAUGAAUGAAGCCUGGAUUCCUGUCCAUUUGUCUCCUAAUAGCUCUCCACUGCAAUCAGCUGUCUCUCGCCUCAUGUUCCUUGUGUGGUUGCCCCUGCCGGAGACACAGCGUGCUGUACUGAGGCUAUCUCAUGUUUCCGAUGGCUAAAAUGAAACAGGAAUCUUAUCUACAGCACACAUAA